rnacentral:rRNA from 1 species
CGGCGAGUGAAGCGGCAACAGCUCAAAUUUGAAAUCUGGCCCUCGGGCCCGAGUUGUAAUUUGUAGAGGAUGUUUCGGGUGCGGCACCGUUCUAAGUUCCUUGGAACAGGGCGUCAUAGAGGGUGAGAAUCCCGUACGUGACCGGUGACCAAGCCCAUGUGAAACUCCUUCGACGAGUCGAGUUGUUUGGGAAUGCAGCUCAAAAUGGGUGGUAUAUUUCAUCUAAAGCUAAAUACUGGCCAGAGACCGAUAGCGCACAAGUAGAGUGAUCGAAAGAUGAAAAGCACUUUGGAAAGAGAGUUAAAAAGUACGUGAAAUUGUUGAAAGGGAAGCGCUUGCAACCAGACUCGCCCCGGGGUGAUCAGCCGUCGUUCUCGUCGGUGCACUCUCCCCGGGCGGGCCAGCAUCGGUUCGGGCGGUGGGAUAAAGGCUCCGGGAAUGUAGCUCCUCUCGGGGAGUGUUAUAGCCCGGGGUGCCAUGCCGCCAGCCUGGACCGAGGACCGCGCUUUUGCUAGGAUGCUGGCAUAAUGGUUGCCAGCGACCCGUCUUGAAACACGGACCAAGGAGUCGACCAACCAUGCGAGUGUUUGGGUAUUAAACCCGUACGCGUAAUGAAAGUGAACGGAGGUGAGAACCCGCAAGGGCGCAUCAUCGACCGAUCCUGAUGUCUUCGGAUGGAUUUGAGUAUGAGCAUUGCUGGUCGGACCCGAAAGAUGGUGAACUAUACGUGAAUAGGGUGAAGCCAGAGGAAACUCUGGUGGAGGCUCGCAGCGGUUCUGACGUGCAAAUCGAUCGUCAAAUUUGCGUAUAGGGGCGAAAGACUAAU